UUAUGAAAUAUUUGGAAUAUUCCAAAAGUCACAGGUUCAGGAGGAAGUUACAUCGUCUAAACUUCCUGAAGAUCAGAGGAAGAAGAAAAGUCUCUUCAGUCUUCAGUCUAGUUGCUGUGGCUGCUGCACGAUCUCAGCCGAAGGCUUUUGCAAUGGCUGUGCCGAGGUUGUUGAACAGCCUCUCAUUGGACAUCAGAUGUGCUCCUUCUGUUACAAUUGUUAAACAUGGACUAACUUUUAUACAUUGGCUUUUUAAUGUGUUUGUCUUUUUUUAAUCAGUGUUUUAUAUAUUUGGUGGUUUUUUAUUUACAUACUCUUAAUAGUCAAUUCUGUCUUUUUAAAUACCCUAUAUGAAUUCUGGAAAAUAAAAUUGUUUGGCAGUGUUUUUA